rnacentral:rRNA from 1 species
UACAGAGGUCCCAAGCGUUGUUCGGAUUCAUUGGGCGUAAAGAGCUCGUAGGCGGUUCGGUAAGUCGGGUGUGAAACCUCCAGGCUCAACCUGGAGACGCCACCCGAUACUGCUGUGACUCGAGUCCGGUAGGGGAGCGUGGAAUUCCUGGUGUAGCGGUGAAAUGCGCAGAUAUCAGGAGGAACACCGGUGGCGAAGGCGGGUCUCUGGGCCGUAACUGACGCUGAGGAGCGAAAGCAUGGGGAGCGAACAGG